rnacentral:rRNA from 1 species
UACGAAGGGGGGCUAGCGUUGCUCGGAAUCACUGGGCGUAAAGGGUGCGUAGGCGGGUCUUUUAAGUCAGGGGGUGAAAUCCUGGAGCUCAACUCCAGAACUGCCUUUGAUACUGAGGAUCUUGAGUUCGGGGAGAGGUGAGUGGAACUGCGAGUGUAGAGGUGAAAAUUCGUAGAUAUUCGCAAGAACACCAGUGGCGAAGGCGGCUCACUGGCCCGAUACUGACGCUGAGGCACGAAAGCGUGGGGAGCAAACAGG